CACGGAGGGGGCAAGCGUUAUUCGGACUCACUGGGCGUAAAGAGCGCGUAGGCGGUCUCUUAAGUCAGAUGUGAAAGCCCGGGGCUUAACCCCGGAAGUGCAUUUGAAACUAAGGGACUUGAGUAUGGGAGAGGGAAGUGGAAUUCCUGGUGUAGCGGUGAAAUGCGUAGAUAUCAGGAGGAACACCGGAGGCGAUGGCGACUUCCUGGACCAAUACUGACGCUGAGGCGCGAAGGCGUGUGGAGCAAGCAGG
rnacentral:rRNA from 1 species